rnacentral:tRNA from 1 species
CUGGUAGUAGAUGACCCGGUCGGGGAUGCCGCGGGUCUUUUCCGCGCUGGUGGCCGGCCAGGGCUGGAUCAACACCAGCCCAUCAGG